UCCAACAAAAGGUCGGGAAAGUGGGAGC
rnacentral:piRNA from 1 species